CACGGGAAGCGCGAGUCUUUUUGGUUUCCGGCCCUUCACCGGUGAGGACGGCGUGGAUAUGGUCGCUUCUUCUUGGCCUGCUGCGAUGCGGAGGCCCAGGCGGCGGCUCAUGGCAUUGCGUUUGCUUUGGGAAAAGGGGAGGCCGCGUGGAUGGCAGAAGGGAUUGGACGGGAAACAGAAAUGGAAGAACAGAAAAGCCGUUUUCUCUUAAGUGAUGGCGACGCGAUCGAGUCCGUGCGAGGAUGGGUGCUGUUUUUGGACCCUAAAAAAAAAAAAAGCAAAUGAGAGACUUCUGGAAAUGUUAAAGAAUACAAAUCUUCCAACUUCUGUAUUCAAAGACAGGUAAAUAUGAAGCUUGGUGCUCUGCAGAUUAUCAAAAAGGCCUUAGUGGAUUUAUGUGGUACACUGGACAUGGUUAUGAUCUGUUUUUGCCUUAAGGUAUUAUCUACUAUUGAAGCUGGGUCUGGCCAACUUUACUAUAUUUUUAUAUUUUUUGCUUGUCCACUAUAUGUAUAUGUACUUGAAAAAAUAAAAUUACUUGAAAACCUGUUU